rnacentral:lncRNA from 1 species
AUGGCAUCUUCUUUUGUCUCAUUGCAGAUUUUACCAUUGUCUGACCAGGUUUGUCCUGAGGAUGGCCUGUUUUUAAGAGGCUCACCACAACGCAAAGAUGAAGAAGAAGAAAAUGAUGAUGAUGAUGAUGAUGAUGAUGUCCAGGUAAGACUCCCCUUUUUUGUCUUUUACAGCAGUGUUGCUUUCCUGCUUGCUUUACUUCUCAAUUAAUUUUUAUAUGAAAAUCUGGCAGUGCACAUUAUGUACAUUGUACACUAUUCUCUUUGUGGGGCUAGAAUUCAGUAGGCGUGUCUUCCCAACUGAUACAUGGUCUGCUAGCGUGGUUUUCAAUGACAGCAUCCAGUAUCAACUGGAAUACUGAGGCAUUUUCCACAAUACCACUUUUCCUCCUUGGAUUAAGCAUUGUGCAUUUGAAUAUAAAAUUAAAGGUAAAUUCUGUGAAUUAAGGUAUUGUUUUUCUAUAGCUAUCCUCUGUGCUAGGCUUUGGGGACUUUGACCUAUGGUUCAAUCACUGUACUGCCUCCUGGUUUUUUAUCAUUGUCCAGAGAAUAACAGAUCUGUGUGAAGCGCACAGCAGAAUCUGAUUCUCAUGUUUUCUUUUAUAUAAUUGCAGAUAAAAGCUUGGCUUAAAGAAAGAGGUAUGUACCAUGAAAUAACUCACUUCCCGGGGGAAAAUCUUGCUAGCUUCAGUGUAUAGAACUGAUUCUGGCUUCCUGCAGGAGGAGGCAGGAGUUCUCAUAGAAAGUAAUUCUGCCAGUAGCAGAGCUACAGCCAGCU